GUUCAGAGGAGCUCAGCUCUGGGGGAGAGCUCAAAGCCGACACCUAUUGAGUUGCAGUUAAAAUGAGGGCGAAAAAGGCUUUUGUUUCAGUUCUGCAGAUGGUCUGGGAGUUUGUGUUUCUUAGCAAGAAUUUUCUAGACGUUUUGGCUUGAACCAUCUGAAAAACUGCCUCAAGCUUUUGCAUGGUUCCCACUGGGUGGGCUGGGUUGGGAGGGGCUGUCGUGCAUGGUCCGGGAAAGCUGGAGAAGGCUGUUCCUUCACCCCGAGCCUUGGAUUUCUUAUCUGUGAAAUGGGAGGCUGCAAUGAUGAAUGGCAAAGUACCUUUUUUUUUCAGCUCUGAAAGUCUAGGAUAUUUUGCCACUGGAAGACCAGCAGACAAUGUCAUGACAACUCAAGAGGAUACAACAGGGCUGCAUCAAAAGACAAGUCUUUGGACCAUGUCAAGACCUGGAGCGAAGAAGGUUUCAGUAUCAACCUGACUUCUUUUGGAAGGAUCCCUUGGCCUCACGCUGGAGUGGGCACCUGCCCUAGCCCACAGAGCUGGAUUUCUCCCUUUCUUCAAUCACACAGGGAGCACCACUAUGCAAAGACCUCAUCACAUUCACAGCCGUCUCCGCAGAGCCUCGCACUGUGCUUGGCAUAUAGCAGGUGCUCAAUAAAUAUCUGCCAAAUGACUGAAUGCAUCUCGCUAGCCUCAGGAUGCCACCAGGCCCUGAGGGAGCCAGGAAGAUCAGAGGAAAGCUUUUGGAUUCCUGCCACACCUUACAUUAGCAACAUCUUCUCCGAGUCCUGACAGCCAGCCUCCUGGGACACCAUUCAAGCCAGCUGAAUUCCGGUCACCGCUUCACCUUGGAAAGGCAUCCGCAGCCCUCACCAAGCGGCCCCGUAAUUGACGUCACAGCGGGGCCAGGAGCUGCCCUGUUAAUAUUUAAUGUGGCCUUCACUGCGCAAAAUGCAGCCUCUAAGAGCUGGAGGGGCCGUGCAGAGUCUCCAUGGGGUUGUGAGGAGGGCACAGAAGGGAAAGGGCUUUAUAAACCAUAAAGCGCCCAACAGAUGAGCAUUCUGCCGACCCAUUUCAGUCCCUGGCUUAACUCAGAAAGAGCCGGGGCUGCACAUGCCUGCAGUGGGACAAGAAGACUGCUGACCAAGCCCGAACACUAAAUCAAUGGGGGAUUAGGGGCUCCUGGGUACAUUCCAUUGAGACAGCGGGAGAGCAGAGCACUGGUGCCAGCCCAACCUGGACUCCACUCCAGGUUUGCCCCCUGCACAGCUGUGUGACUGGGUCAGCAAGUGCACUGCUGAGCCUCAGUCCCCCUUAUCUGUGAAAUGGGAAUGAUGCUUUCCUUGUAGCACUGCUGUGAAGAUUCAAUGAAACGAGUGAUGCCGAA
rnacentral:lncRNA from 1 species